rnacentral:rRNA from 1 species
GUCAGAUGAACGCUGGCGGCAGGCCUAACACAUGCAAGUCGAACGGUAACAGGAAGCAGCUUGCUGCUUCGCUGACGAGUGGCGGACGGGUGAGUAAUGUCUGGGAAACUGCCUGAUGGAGGGGGAUAACUACUGGAAACGGUAGCUAAUACCGCAUAACGUCGCAAGACCAAAGAGGGGGACCUUCGGGCCUCUUGCCAUCGGAUGUGCCCAGAUGGGAUUAGCUAGUAGGUGGGGUAACGGCUCACCUAGGCGACGAUCCCUAGCUGGUCUGAGAGGAUGACCAGCCACACUGGAACUGAGACACGGUCCAGACUCCUACGGGAGGCAGCAGUGGGGAAUAUUGCACAAUGGGCGCAAGCCUGAUGCAGCCAUGCCGCGUGUAUGAAGAAGGCCUUCGGGUUGUAAAGUACUUUCAGCGGGGAGGAAGGGAGUAAAGUUAAUACCUUUGCUCAUUGACGUUACCCGCAGAAGAAGCACCGGCUAACUCCGUGCCAGCAGCCGCGGUAAUACGGAGGGUGCAAGCGUUAAUCGGAAUUACUGGGCGUAAAGCGCACGCAGGCGGUUUGUUAAGUCAGAUGUGAAAUCCCCGGGCUCAACCUUGGGAACUGCAUCUGAUACUGGCAAGCUUGAGUCUCGUAGAGGGGGGUAGAAUUCCAGGUGUAGCGGUGAAAUGCGUAGAGAUCUGGAGGAAUACCGGUGGCGAAGGCGGCCCCCUGGACGAUACUGACGCUCAGGUGCGAAGCGUG